UGACUCAUACAAUUGCACCAACGUUGUCGCUGAAGAUGUUGUUCGCAAGUUGGUUUUAAAGGCGGAACCUCAUCUGAAACCCUACAAGGUUGCAUGGGUGAACAACACAAAUCUCAAGGUUCAUGAAAGGUGUUUGCUCACAUAUUCAAUUGGUGGACUGAUUGAUCAGGUGCAGUAUGAUGUCCUCCCAUUUGGAAGUCUGCCACAUUCUUUUGGGACACCCAUGGUUGUAUGACAAGAAAGCCAAGCACUGUGGUUAUGAGAAUACAUAUUCCUUUCAGCAUGGUGGACUUGAGAUGAAAUUCCUCCCAGCGAAGGAUCUUCCAUCUAUCAAACUCAAGAACACAGUUGAUAUAUGUUUCCUCAAG